rnacentral:rRNA from 1 species
GACGAACGCUGGCGGCGUGCUUAACACAUGCAAGUCGAACGGAAAGGCCCUGCUUUUGUGGGGUGCUCGAGUGGCGAACGGGUGAGUAACACGUGAGUAACCUGCCCUUGACUUUGGGAUAACUUCAGGAAACUGGGGCUAAUACCGGAUAGGAGCUGCUGCUGCAUGGUGGGGGUUGGAAAGUUUCGGCGGUUGGGGAUGGACUCGCGGCUUAUCAGCUUGUUGGUGGGGUAGUGGCUUACCAAGGCUUUGACGGAUAGCCGGCCUGAGAGGGUGACCGGCCACAUUGGGACUGAGAUACGGCCCAGACUCCUACGGGAGGCAGCAGUGGGGAAUAUUGCACAAUGGGCGGAAGCCUGAUGCAGCAACGCCGCGUGCGGGAUGACGGCCUUCGGGUUGUAAACCGCUUUCGCCUGUGACGAAGCGUGAGUGACGGUAAUGGGUAAAGAAGCACCGGCUAACUACGUG